rnacentral:rRNA from 1 species
UACGAAGGGUGCAAGCGUUACUCGGAAUUACUGGGCGUAAAGCGUGCGCAGGCGGUUGUGCAAGACCGAUGUGAAAUCCCCGGGCUUAACCUGGGAAUGGCAUUGGUGACUGCACGGCUAGAGUGUGUCAGAGGGGGGUAGAAUUCCACGUGUAGCAGUGAAAUGCGUAGAUAUGUGGAGGAAUACCGAUGGCGAAGGCAGCCCCCUGGGAUAACACUGACGCUCAUGCACGAAAGCGUGGGGAGCAAACAGG